UACGUAGGGUGCAAGCGUUGUCCGGAAUUAUUGGGCGUAAAGAGCUCGUAGGCGGUUUGUUGCGUCGGCUGUGAAAUCCCGAGGCUCAACCUCGGGUCUGCAGUCGAUACGAGCAAACUAGAGUGUUGCAGGGGAGACUGGAAUUCCUGGUGUAGCGGUGAAAUGCGCAGAUAUCAGGAGGAACACCAGUGGGCGAAGGCA
rnacentral:rRNA from 1 species